GAUAGCUAUAGUUUAAAGGUAAAACAAUUGUAUGUGGAGCAAUGUAUCUGAGUUCAAUUCUCAGUAGUUAUC
rnacentral:tRNA from 2 species